AUCCAGCUGAUGAGUCCCGGAUAGGACGAAACACGCGUCAAACUGGAU
rnacentral:hammerhead_ribozyme from 1 species